GGACUUUAACUUCUUUGGACAGUAUAAAUAUUCGCGCAUUUUAUUUCUUUGCGCUUUCUUGCGUCAAUCAACCAACAAGCAGAAUCUCAAUAUGAAAUUCAGUGCGUCGAUGGUAUUUGCGGGCAUUGCAGUUUUAUCUGCAAUUUGUUUCUCUACUAUUGAUGGACGAGCAGCGGGCCCGUACACACAAGGUUACAACAAAUGUUACCCUGUUUGUAAUGUCUGCAAAGAGGCAGCAGCAAAUCGUGGAUAUCCUGGAUUCAAUCCAAUUCAAACUCCAGUGGAUCACGAUUUUUGGUUCUCUGUGCUAGAAGAAAAUGGCUGCAUGGCUUGCCGUAAUUGUAUAAUCGGCGCAUAACGCUAAUUUGGAAUGAUGACUCGUUAUGCUCCAGCACUAAGUUCUGCAAAGAAUUUAAAUCAUUUUCACUCUAACCUAUUAACUCAGCAUAAGUGCCACAAAUAGUUUGAAACAAUAUCUCGCACGAUGACACAAAAUUUGAUUUGCUCUGGUCUUUUGUUUACGUCAAGAUUUAAAAAUGUACUUUUAUAAUUUCAAUAAAUAAAUAAUAAAAAAAAAAAAUUAAA